GUUCGUUGUUGGGGAACUAGUCAGCCUUCUUGAGUAGGACUAAGGGGUUUCUGGACCUGAGGUUUAAGCAACGUGUAGCAGCAGGGGGUGCCGCGGAAGAUUGGAGAGGCUCUGAGUGGUUCUUUCGAGUUUCCUUCAUUACCAAACGGGCUGACGGAGUGAGUGGGACGCUGUGGCACCAUGCUCCAUCCCCUGGCUGUGUUCGUGCUGGUCGUCAACGUGUCCAUCACCGUCUUCUACUGGCUGUUCAUCCUGACUGAGGCCUUCAAGCAGAGGAAAGCGGAGGACCAACAGCCUGCAUAAAAGGUCUUUUGCAAGAAAGUGGAAGAUGACCCGGAACACGCGGUCCCCAUCACAGCAUGAAUAAGGAUCCUGCCACCAAUAAGAAUCAUCUUAUAUCCAAGCCCACUUUCCAUCGAGGCUUACCAGCAUGGAGUCCCACAGCAUGGUGCAGUCUGUUCAACAACACUAUGUAGCUGUUGUUUCCGCCACGGGCCCUGUUAUUGUGGUAGAAAUGAAUGAUUAUAUUCUAAGUACACAUUCCUGGCUCCUUCCCGCAGGGGGCUUGCUUCAAGUCAAAAGGACCCAACCACAGCAAGAUAGAGCAGAGCGGUGGAGAAGAGGGGCCGGAUCAUUUCCAGAAUACUUUCAUUGCUCCUACAUUCAUGGUUUUGAAGCGUGGUUCAGUUGUUGUUCAUCUAACACUUACCGUUACUGGAACGGUUUGUAUACAAAGAUGAAAGAAUCAAGGCAAAAUUGGAGCCAACCAAAUUUUCCGCUCAGAUAUCUUUUCAUCUUAGUACUCCUUUCAACAGCACAAAACAUUUGAAGGUGAGGUGAGGUGUGCCCUUCAGAUUCAACACAUUUUAUCAAAGGUACAGUGUGUAGAAUUGAGGGGCAUCCAGCAGAAUAGACUUGUCCAAAAUGGAAUGUAAAAUUCAUAAGUUUUCAGUUGGUUGCAAUCUUUCAUAACCAAUUUCAAACAACAAAUAUACCUCUUUUGAAAUCGUCCAAGUACCCCCUCCAAUCCUCCAUAGAUAAGUUUUAAUAUCAGAAAAUCAUCCCCAUUGAUUGAUAGAUGAGUCUAAUUAGGUUUCAUUAAUUUGAUAUGAUAUGGAUAUAGGAUGUAUGACACAUAUAUAUGUGAAAAUUAUAUAGAUUAUAUAUAAAUUAUAAAGAAAAUACAUAGUUGGAAAUGCAGUGUGUUACAAAAUAAAAAUAUAUAUUGUGUUUUCAAAGCUGAAAUUGUGUUUGUUGUAGUAAUACUUUGGCACUUGUUUAAGAGACAUUAAUA
ensembl:lncRNA